CACGUAGGGGGCGAGCGUUGUCCGGAUUUAUUGGGCGUAAAGAGCUCGUAGGCGGUUUCGUAAGUCGGAUGUGAAAACUCCAGGCUCAACUUGGAGACGCCAUUCGAUACUGCGAUGACUUGAGUCCGGUAGGGGAGUGUGGAAUUCCUGGUGUAGCGGUGAAAUGCGCAGAUAUCGUAAGGAAGACCAGUGGCGAAGGCGGGUCUCUGGACAGUUCCUGACGCUGAGGCACGAAGGUCAGGGGAGCAAACGGG
rnacentral:rRNA from 1 species